AGAGUUUGAUCAUGGCUCAGAAUCAACGCUGGCGGCGUGCCUAACACAUGCAAGUCGAACGAGAAAGCGGGGGCAACUCCGUGAGUACAGUGGCGAACGGGUGAGUAACACGUGACUAACCUGCCUUCAAGUGGGGGAUAACUCCGGGAAACCGGGGCUAAUACCGCAUAACAUCGCGAGGUGAAAUUCCUUGUGAUCAAAGGGGUAAGACGCUUGAAGAGGGGGUCGCGGCCGAUUAGCUAGUUGGUGGGGUAACGGCCCACCAAGGCAGUGAUCGGUAGCCGGCCUGAGAGGGCGCACGGCCACACUGGAACUGAAACACGGUCCAGACUCCUACGGGAGGCAGCAGUGGGGAAUUUUGCGCAAUGGGGGAAACCCUGACGCAGCAACGCCGCGUGGAGGAUGAAGUCCCUUGGGACGUAAACUCCUUUCAACCGGGACGAUAAUGACGGUACCGGUGGAAGAAGCCCCGGCUAACUUCGUGCCAGCAGCCGCGGUAAUACGAGGGGGGCGAGCGUUGUUCGGAAUUAUUUGGGGUAAAGGGCGCGUAAGCUGUGCGGUAAUUCACCUGGGAAACCUCUGAACUUAACUCAGAGCC
rnacentral:rRNA from 1 species